CUGAUUUUUGCAAUGUUACGUAGAUGGAAAAAAGCUGUCCUUGAAACAGUCUUGAUAUGUUCUUCAAAAGAGAGAUCAGGGUCCAGAGUAACGCCGAGGUCCUUCACAGUUUUAUUUGAGACGACUGUACAACCAUCCAGAUUAAUUGUCAGAUUCAACAGAAGAUCUCUUUGUUUCUUGGGACCUAGAACAAGCAUCUCUGUUUUGUCCUGCAUUGUCUUGGUUGUGUGCUUAGGGUUGUUGACCUGUUGGAAGUUGAACCUUUGCCCCAGUUUGAGGUCCUGAGUGCUCUGGAGCAGGUUUUCAUCAAGGAUCUCUCAGUACCUUGCUUCAUUCAUCUUUCCCUCGAUCCUAACUAGUCUCCCAGUCCCUGCCACUGAGAAACAUCCCCACAGCAUGACGCUGCCACCACCAUGCUUCACCGUAGGGAUGGUGACAGGUUUCCUCCAGACGUGACGCUAGGCAUUCAGGCCAAAGAGUUCAAUCUUGGUUCCAUCAGACCAGAGAAUUUAGAUUUUCAUGGUCUGAGUCUUUUAAGUGCCUUUUGGCAAACGCCAAGCGGGCUGUCAUGUGCCUUUUAUUGAUGAAAGGCUUACCAUAAAGGCCUUACUGGUGGAGUGGUGCAGAGAUGGUUGUCCUUCUGUAAGGUUCUCCCAUCUCCACAGAGGAACUCUGGAGCUCUGUCAGAGUGACCAUCGGGUUCUUGGUCACCUCCCUGACCAAGGCCCUUCUACCCCGAUUGCUCUGUUUGGCCUGGCGGACAGCUCUAGGAAGAGUCUUGGUGGUUUCAAGCUUCUUCCAUUUAAGAAUGAUGGCGACCACUGUGUUCUUGGGGAGCUUCAAUACUGCAGAAAUGUUUUGGUACCCUUCCUCAGAUCUGUGCCGACACAAUCCUGUCUCGGCGCUCUACGGACAAUUCCUUCGACCUCAUGGCUUUGUGUUUUCUCUGACAUGCACUGUCAACUGUGGGACCUUAUAUAGACAGGUGUGUGCUUUUCCAACUCACGUCCAAUCAAUUGAAUGUACCACAGGUGGACUCCAUUGAAGUUGUAAAAACAGCUCAGGUAUAAUCUAUGGAAAUAGAAUGCACCUGAGCUCAAUUUCGAGUCUCAUAGCAAAGGGUCUGAAUACUUUUGUAAAUAAGGUAUUUAUGUUUUUUGUCAUUAUGGGGUAUUGUGUGUAGAUUGAUGCGAAAUGUUUUAUUUAAUACGUUUUAAAAUAUGGCUGUAAUGUAACAAAAUGUGGAAAAGGUGACGGUGUCGGAAGACUUUCGAAUGCACUGUAUAUGCUAGCUAGGCCUAUUCACUGUCUCUGAGUUCAUUUAACAUAGUUGUAGCUAGUUGGCAAGCAUAUUACUCAUCCUUUUAUGGUGGUUCAGUUACUGUAUGUUUUUUCCCCCCCAAAUUGUUUCUGAGUUAGCUAGGUAGUUAGUUGGCUUAGUCUAGAGGCAGACAGUUGCUUUAGGUAGCUAUAGCUAGCUAGCUACAUAUUGAAAUGAAAGGAGUGUCACAAUUGUUCAAACCUAGUUUAGGCUAUGUAUUUUGACUCUCCACUUAAACUGUGCUAAUGUCUUCGUCCCCCACUGCCCAGACACUAGAGACUGCAUGACCCUGAGAGUGCUUCUCCCACCACCAGCGUAUCAAAUGCAUAUUCUAAUGACGACAUGGCCCUGAAAGCUCAGGAGACUGCUGAGGGGAGGACAGCUCAUAAUAAUGGCUGCAAUGAAGUGAGCGGAAUGGUUGCAACCAAUAUGGCUGAAUAUCUACGCCAGGCGACCGAAAGAACAAGAGAAACCGAACCCUUCGCUCUGACUCUCAGGGACAAUCACCUCUACUCCCUGGCCAUUCACCAUCGUGACUGGGAAGACUCUGGAGCAGAAGACAUUAUGUUUUGCUGUUUUACAAGAAUUCAUAUGGAAAAUUGAUACCUGGUAGGGGUUGGGGGGAGUAAAGGGUAAAGUGUUUACUUUUCUUCACCCCCUUUCCUCAGCUUUAAUUGCAAGGGCUACUGUGAUUUUGAAAUGAUGGAUUGUGCUAAAGUUUUUAUUUGUGUGUUCCUUAUUUGUUUAUUUUUUGCAUGACUUUCUUUUGGAGCUGAAAUUAAUAACUCAAAAAACAUAUUUUGUAUUUUAUUUACAAUUUGUCAUGAUUGGCCAUAUGUCAUUUUAAGAAUUUCAUAGACUGUGUCGAAAAUUUGUAACAUUGAUUGUUAUUGUUAGAUAUAUUUUGUACAUUUAGAAAAUUAACAGAUUAUGUAAUAGAGAGAAGGUAGAAAAAUAACCCAGCAAUAAAGUAAGAAAUAACCCACUGCUGGGUCAAAAAUACAUGAAUAAAAAUAACCCAGCAAAAGAGUAAAAAGCAACCUAAUGCUGGGUCAAAGUAAUCACAUUUUGUGGUAAAUCAAUAAACCCAACGUGUUGGGUCAUUCAUGUAACCCAACAGUGCUGUAUUCAAAUAUUUUUUUGUGUGUAAGGAAAGGGGAUGACUAUGACAUUGAACCUCUGUAGAUAAGAUAUACUGUAGGCGUAUGUUAUUUCCAACCUUAAAAGUUUGGGGAAUAUUAAUGUUUACAUAAGGAAGAUGACCUUGGAUUAAAACCUCUACAGGAUUGGUGGGUCCCCCGCGGGACGGUUGAGCUAACGUAGGCUAAUGCGACUAGCAUGAGUUUGUAAGUAACAAGAACAUUUCCCAGGACAUAGACAUAUCUGAUAUUGGCAGAAAGCUUAAAUUCUUGUUAAUGUAACUGCACUGUCCAAUUUACAGUAGCUAUUACAGUGAAAGAAUACCAUGCAAUUGUUUGAGAAGAGUGCACAGUUAUGAACUUGAAAAGUUAUUAUUAAACCAAUUAGGCACAUUUGGGCAGUCUUGAUACAAUAUUUUGAGCAGAAAUACAAUGGUUCAUUGGAUCAGUCUAAAACUUUACACAAACACUGCUUCCAUCUAGUGGCCAAAAUCUAAAUUGCGCCUGGGCUGUAAUAAUACAUUAUGGCCUUUCUCUUGCAUUUCGAAGAUGAUUGUACAAAAAAAACAUGUUUUUUUCCUUUGUAUUAUCUUCUAAAUGAUCUAAUGUGUUAUAUUCUCCUAAAUUCAUUUCACAUUUCUACUAACUUCAAAGUGUUUCCUUUCAAAUGGUUUCAAGAAUAUGCACAUCCUUGUUUCAGGUCCUGAGCUCCAGGCAGUUAAAUUUGGGUAUGGUAUUUUAUGCGAAAAUUGAAAAAAAAAGGGAUGGAUCCUUAAGGUUUUUUAAGCAAAGCAUUAAAGUCAAAACCCACAAUUUGCAAAAACAGAACAAUGUAUUAUUCAUGCUACCAGCUAACAUCAACGGACAUGACACCACAUGACAAGACACAGCCAUUGUUGUAUGAAAACAUCGUGGUGCCACUUGGAGACUGACAUCAUGAUCAAGUCAUUUCACCAUUUGACUGUCAGAGUUGCACCAUUGUUUAUGGUCAUCUGAAGUUUUUUUAUUUUUAUUUCAUGCAUGGGCCAAUGAUGAUGUAGCGUUACACAACAUAUGUAUCACAAUUGUGCACUCAUAUGAAGAGUAUAACGAACUUCCUUCUAGUCGAUAUUGUAUUGAUUAGUAAAUUAGUAAGGGGUAUAUGAAAGACAACAUCUGAAUGGGAUUUUAAGCAAAAGAUUGCUUCUUCUCUUCACACAAACACAGAACAUGGGUAUAUAUAUGCAGAUAAAUAGAAUGUAAAUAUAUUGUAGAACAGCAAAUAGGAUAUUAGUGCAUAUCCUACCUGGGAAAAAAACGAGUGAGACAGGG
rnacentral:lncRNA from 1 species